UCACCAGGUUGAUUCUGCCUGACGUGGAUGCUAGUCUCAUAGAUUUAGCCAUGCAUGUGUAAGCGAAGCGUAUAGCGGAGCGGCGGACGGCUCAGUAACAGGCGAGUAUUUGAUCUCCACAAACGGACAACCUCAGGAAACAGAGGGGAAAACGUUGUAAGAGCAUGCGAGGAGCAUGUGAUGAGAACGAGAGUGGUGGAGAGUAAGAAGUCAGCCCAUCAGUUAAUAUGUAGGGUAAGGGCCUACUUAGACGAAGACGGGUACGGGGGAUUAGGGUUUGAUUCCGGAGAGGGAGCCUGAGAGAUGGCUACCAGGUCUAAGGAGCGCAGCAGGCGCGAAAAUUACCGCAGCCCGCAGCGGGGCGGUAGUGAAGAGACGUGAAGACAAGGAUGUGUAGAAAAGAUCUUGGUAACUGGAGGACAAGUCUGGUGCCAGCACCAGCGGUAAUACCAGCUCCAGGAGUGUCUAUGGUGAUUGCUGCGAUUAAAAGGUCCGUAGUCGAAGGGGAAGACCUGUCUGUAAUGGUGUAUAUCGAGUAUGACGAAGGACGGGAAUGAGCCGGGAGAGAGGAGCGACGAGGGGCUAGAUAAUUGUGGAGCGAGAGGUGAAAUUUGAUGACCUUCACAGGAGUAACAGAGGCGAAAGCGCUAGCCAGGGGCGAAUCCGAUGAUCAAGGACGUAGGCCGGGGGAUCGAAAACGAUUAGAGACCGUAGUAGUCCCGGCAGUCAACGAUGCCGACACAGCGGUGCAGAGAUGCACGGGUGAAGAGAAAUCUAGUAGGGCUAUGGGGAGAGUACGCGCGCAAGCAUAAAAUUUAAAGGAAAUUGACGGAAGAGCACCACAAGGAGUGGAGUGUGCGGCUUAAUUUGACUCAACGCGGGACAACUUACCAUUGCCGAUGGCCGGGAGAGUGUGGUACACGAUAGGUCAGAGAGUGGUGCAUGGCCGUUAUCGACUAGUGGGGUGACCUUUUGGUUAAUUCCGGUAAGUAGUGAGAUCCCCGGGUGCGAACGACAGGUGCGAGAAGCACAGGAAGAAGGGGGCAAGAACAGGUCAGUGAUGCCCUUAGAUGGGAUGGGCUGCACGCGCACUACAGUGGUCACGACAGAGAGGAAGAAGAAGUAAAAGUGAUCGAGAGGGAAUGAGCACUGUAAUGUGCACAGGAACGAGGAAUUGCUAGUAAUCGUUGCCUCAUUAAGGAGCGAUGAAUAAGUCCCUGCUCUUUGUACACACCGCCCGUCGUUAUCGAAGAUGGAACCAGGUGCGAACGAGCUGAAGCGAGUGAGUGCAGGGUUCUAGAUCUGAUACAAGUCGUAACAAGGUAACCA
rnacentral:rRNA from 1 species